CGGGAUGGGUGAGUAACGCGUGGGUAACCUGCCCUUAAGUCUGGGAUACCAUUUGGAAACAGAUGCUAAUACCGGAUAAAAGCUACUUUCGCAUGAAAGAAGUUUAAAAGGCGGCGUAAGCUGUCGCUAAAGGAUGGACCUGCGAUGCAUUAGCUAGUUGGUAAGGUAACGGCUUACCAAGGCGAUGAUGCAUAGCCGAGUUGAGGGACUGAUCGGCCACAUUGGGACUGAGACACGGCCCAAACUCCUACGGGAGGCAGCAGGG
rnacentral:rRNA from 1 species